UGGCUGUGCCCCCAUGCCUGGGAAGGGCUGACGCUUUUCCAGUUCGUGGUUACACAGACAAGGCACAGAGCUCUUGCCCUAGCAUUCCUCACACCCUGGGUUAUGGGACAUGGCUCAGCAAAAUGCUUGUCAUGCAAGCACGAGGACUUCAGUUUGACCCCCAGCACCCGUGCCAGAAAUGGCAGGUGUAUCAGGGCACGUGGGCAGCUGGAGAUCAGAGAGCCUCUGGGCUCGUUGUUCAGCCAGCCUAGCCGAUUAGUGAGCCUCGAAGAAAUCCGCCGUGUGGCUCCUGAGGAACUACACUGAGGUUGUCCUCUGGCCUGCACGUGCACGCAGAAGCACACACAUGCUCACAAAAGUUAUGGAAAUCCUGCUUGGUAUCCAUGGAAACCUAUAGAUAUGCCCUCUCAGACAA
rnacentral:lncRNA from 1 species